rnacentral:rRNA from 1 species
AGCGGAUGACCUGUGGAUCGGAGUGAAAGGCUAAUCAAGCUCGGAGAUAGCUGGUUCUCCUCGAAAGCUAUUUAGGUAGCGCCUCAUGUAUCACUGUAGGGGGUAGAGCACUGUUUCGGCUAGGGGGUCAUCCCGACUUACCAAACCGAUGCAAACUCCGAAUACCUACAAGUGCCGAGCAUGGGAGACACACGGCGGGUGCUAACGUCCGUCGUGAAAAGGGAAACAACCCAGACCGUCAGCUAAGGUCCCAAAGUCAUGGUUAAGUGGGAAACGAUGUGGGAAGGCAUAGACAGCUAGGAGGUUGGCUUAGAAGCAGCCAUCCUUUAAAGAAAGCGUAAUAGCUCACUAGUCGAGUCGGCCUGCGCGGAAGAUGUAACGGGGCUAAAACUAUAUGCCGAAGCUGCGGAUUUGCAAUUUAUUGCAAGUGGUAGGGGAGCGUUCUGUAAGCCGAUGAAGGUGUAUUGAGAAGUAUGCUGGAGGUAUCAGAAGUGCGAAUGCUGACGUGAGUAACGACAAUGCGAGUGAAAAACUCGCACGCUGAAAGACCAAGGGUUCCAGUCCAACGUUAAUCGGGGCUGGGUGAGUCGACCCCUAAGGCGAGGCCGAGAGGCGUAGUCGAUGGGAAAUUGGUUAAUAUUCCAAUACUUCUAUGUAAUGCGAUGAGAGGACGGAGAAGGUUAAGUCAGCCUGGCGUUGGUUGUCCAGGUGGAAGGUUGUAGGCAUGUAUCUUAGGCAAAUCCGGGGUACUGUAUGCUGAGAACUGAUAGCAAGCUGUACUUGUACAGUGAAGUGGCUGAUACCAUGCUUCCAGGAAAAGUCUCUAAGCUUCAGUUACAUAGGAAUCGUACCCGAAACCGACACAGGUGGUCAGGUCGAGUAGACCAAAGCGCUUGAGAGAACUCUGCUGAAGGAACUAGGCAAAAUGGUACCGUAACUUCGGGAGAAGGUACGCUGCCGACGGUGAUAGGAUUUACUCCUUGAGCUAUUGGCAGCCACAGAAACCAGGCCCCUGCAACUGUUUAUUAAAAACAUAGCACUCUGCAAACACGAAAGUGGACGUAUAGGGUGUGAUGCCUGCCCGGUGCUGGAAGGUUAAUUGAUGGGGUUAGCGUAAGCGAAGCUCUUGAUCGAAGCCCCAGUAAACGGCGGCCGUAACAAUAACGGUCCUAAGGUAGCGAAAUUCCUUGUCGGGUAAGUUCCGACCCGCACGAAUGGUGUAACGAUCUGAGCGCUGUCUCAACGUAAAACUCGGUGAAAUUGUAAUACCGGUGAAGAUACCGGUUACCAGUGGCGGGACGAAAAGACCCCGUGAACCUUUACUGCAGCUUGAUAUUGAAAUUUGGCUUACUAUGUGUAGGAUAGGUGGGAGACUUUGAAGCAGAGUCGUCAGAUUCUGUGGAGUCAUUAGUGAAAUACCACCCUUAUUAAUUUAAAUUUCUCACAAAUACCUUGAAUCAGGUAUUUGGACAAUGUCAGGUAGGCGGUUUGACUGGGGCGGUCGCCUCCCAAACAGUAACGGAGGCGCGCGAAGGUUUUCUUACGGUGGAUGGAAAUCACCGUGUAAGUGUAAAGGCAUAAGAAAGCUUGACUGCAAGACCUACAAGUCGAGCAGGUACGAAAGUAGGCCUUAGUGAUCUGGCGGUGGCGCGUGGAAGCGCCGUCACUUAACGGACAAAAGGUACUCCGGGGAUAACAGGCUAAUACUUCCCAAGAGUUCACAUCGACGGAAGUGUUUGGCACCUCGAUGUCGGUUCAUCGCAUCCUGGGGCUGUAGCAGGUCCCAAUGGUUUGGCUGUUCGCCAAUUAAAGCGGUACGCGAACUGGGUUCAGAACGUCGCGAGACAGUUCGGUUUCUAUCUGCCACUGGCAUUGGAUGAUUGCAGGGAGCAAUUUUUAGUACGAGAGGACCAAAAUUGACAAACCUCUAGUGUACCAGUUAUCGUGCCAACGGUAAGCGCUGGGUAGCUAUGUUUGGAAAGGAUAACCGCUGAAAGCAUCUAAGUGGGAAGCCCUCUUCAAGAUUAAUCAUCCCUGAGUCUUCG